rnacentral:rRNA from 1 species
UAAAAUGACUCUCGGCAACGGAUAUCUCGGCUCUCGCAUCGAUGAAGAACGUAGCGAAAUGCGAUACUUGGUGUGAAUUGCAGAAUCCCGUGAACCAUCNAGUCUUUGAACGCAAGUUGCGCCCAAAGCCCAUNAGGUUGANGGGCACGUCUGCCUGGGUGUCA